UACGGGGGGGGCAAGCGUUGUUCGGAAUUACUGGGCGUAAAGGGCUCGUAGGUGGCCAACUAAGUCAGACGUGAAAUCCCUCGGCUUAACCGGGGAACUGCGUCUGAUACUGGAUGGCUUGAGUUCGGGAGAGGGAUGCGGAAUUCCAGGUGUAGCGGUGAAAUGCGCAGAUAUCAGGAGGAACACCGGUGGCGAAGGCGGGUCUCUGGGCAACAACUGACGCUGAGGAGCGAAAGCGUGGGGAGCGAACAGG
rnacentral:rRNA from 1 species